rnacentral:rRNA from 1 species
GUGGAUUAGAUACCCUGGUAGUCCACGCCCUAAACGAUGUCUACUAGUUGUCGGAGGGUAACUCCUUCGGUAACGCAGCUAACGCGUGAAGUAGACCGCCUGGGGAGUACGGUCGCAAGAUUAAAACUCAAAGGAAUUGACGGGGACCCGCACAAGCGGUGGAUGAUGUGGAUUAAUUCGAUGCAACGCGAAAAACCUUACCUACCCUUGACAUGCCACUAACGAAGCAGAGAUGCAUUAGGUGCCCGAAAGGGAAAGUGGACACAGGUGCUGCACGGCUGUCGCCAGCU